rnacentral:rRNA from 1 species
ACUGCUCAGUAACACGUGGAUAACCUGACCUAAGGUGGAGAAUAACCCCGGGAAACUGGGGAUAAUACUCCAUAGAUUAGAGCUACUGGAAUGUUCUCUAGUCGAAAGCUCCGGCGCCUUAGGAUGGAUCUGCGGUCGAUUAGGUUGUUGUUGGGGUAACGGCCCAACAAGCCUGUAAUCGAUACGGGUUGUGGGAGCAAGAGCCCGGAGAUGGAAUCUGAGACACGAUUCCAGGCCCUACGGGGCGCAGCAGGCGCGAAAACUUUACAAUGCAGGAAACUGUGAUAAGGGAACCCCGAGUGCCCGUAUACGCGGGCUGUCCAGGUGUUUAAAACGCAUCUGAAGAAAGGGCCGGGCAAGACCGGUGCCAGCCGCCGCGGUAAUACCGGCGGCUCGAGUGGUGGCCACUAUUAUUGGGCUUAAAGCGUCCGUAGCUGGACCCUUAAGUCUCUUGGGAAAUCCGCCGGCUUAACCGGCGGGCGUCUAGGAGAUACUGGGGGUCUAGGGACCGGGAGAGGUGAGAGGUACUCCGGGGGUAGGAGUGAAAUCCUGUAAUCCCUGGGGGACCACCGAUGGCGAAGGCAUCUCACCAGAACGGCUCCGACAGUGAGGGACGAAAGCUGGGGGAGCGAACCGGAUUAGAUACCCGGGUAGUCCCAGCCGUAAACUAUGCGCGUUAGGUGUACCGGUGACCACGAGUCACUGGGGUGCCGAAGGGAAACCGUGAAACGUGCCGCCUGGGAAGUACGGUCGCAAGGCUGAAACUUAAAGGAAUUGGCGGGGGAGCAC